AAACAAUCCAUUUCGGUAAAAUUGUUAAGCAAGGAGGAAAUUUGAAUCACUGAACGACAAUAUGAAUAUUUCAAUGGUCUUAUUAAUUUGCCUAGCUGUUUACAUGCCACCCAGGGGCGUGUGGUAUGAAGAAUGAAUAAAAUAAAUACUUAACAAAACAUA